AAGAAAACCCUUGAGAGAGAGAGUGCCCAAUGUAACAAAGCUAUUAACAUAAUGAAGCAGAAACUGCAAGACCUUUAUCAUGCUGUCUUUAGUAGGUUAAGAGGUGAUAAAGCUAGGCCAGUCACUACAAACCAAUAUGUUCUUCAGUGCAACCAUAAUGGAAGUAUUUUGAUUGAACCAAAAAACUGAUGAUCUCAGGCCACAAAAAGGAAACCCAAAAGGGAAAGAGAAAAA
rnacentral:lncRNA from 1 species